AUUGAACGCUGGCGGCAUGCUUUACACAUGCAAGUCGAACGGUAACAGGCCGCAAGGUGCUGACGAGUGGCGAACGGGUGAGUAAUGCAUCGGAACGUGCCCAGUCGUGGGGGAUAACGCAGCGAAAGCUGUGCUAAUACCGCAUACGAUCUAUGGAUGAAAGCGGGGGACCGUAAGGCCUCGCGCGAUUGGAGCGGCCGAUGUCAGAUUAGGUAGUUGGUGGGGUAAAGGCUCACCAAGCCAACGAUCUGUAGCUGGUCUGAGAGGACGACCAGCCACACUGGGACUGAGACACGGCCCAGACUCCUACGGGAGGCAGCAGUGGGGAAUUUUGGACAAUGGGCGCAAGCCUGAUCCAGCAAUGCCGCGUGCAGGAAGAAGGCCUUCGGGUUGUAAACUGCUUUUGUACGGAACGAAACGGCGAGCUCUAAUACAGUUUGCUAAUGACGGUACCGUAAGAAUAAGCACCGGCUAACUACGUGCCAGCAGCCGCCGUAA
rnacentral:rRNA from 1 species